rnacentral:lncRNA from 1 species
GUAUUGAAGAAAUCUAUUCAAAUGAAAAUAUGUAUACAUUCAAUCAAAUAUAAAUACCACAUUAACGACACUAUACAAGGAUAGUCAUAAGCAAUUAACAAACAAUAAUAGGAGAGAUUUUACAUAUCAAAUAAUACAUGAAAUCACUUAAAAUACUUCAUCCAUGCUUUGAUGCACAGUAAAAUUUUACAAUAAAUAAGUAGUACUGAUUUGACAAGAACUUGUUUGAUGAAUUAAAUCGAGUAAAUAAGCAAAACGUCGUCGCCGGAAACUCAACGAUAGACCCCGAUCUCUAAACCCAAACUCUUUUCCUCUUCUUCUUUGAUCUUUCUUUCACUUUGAAUAUUUUUUUCUCUGUUUUCUUUUCCUCCAAUUGAAUUCUGAUUUCUUUUGUUUUUCACUCACUGUUUCUCUCCCAUCUUUUUCCUUUUCUUUCAUCUACUGCUUUUUUAAGUGUGUGGUAUCCUGUGUCUCUGUCUUUUUGUGUUUUGCCUGUAUGUGUUGACAUAUAGUGUUUGAAUGUGUGUAGUUGUGGGAGUUUUUAG